GCGGCCCUAACGGGCCAACGAACGGCGUGACCCGCCUGAGGAGAGCGGCCGGGCCCCUCACCUUCCUCUCGCGGCUCUUGCGCUCCUCCCGGCGCCUCUCGAACUCCUCGAAGGAGAUUUUCCCCUCCAGAUAAUUAUAUCUAGCAGAAGGAUUUCCAAGAUAAGCUAGAUAUGGAGCAAUUUCCUGGUGCUAGAAGACAGCAAGAUGGGGAAUACGGGUAUUUUGUGUUGCGUGGUCAUGGAAUGGAAAACACAGAGAACCUCUGAAGCAAACAUCAAAAGAAGAAAACUUUGCAUUUUGUCAUGCAGUAUAAAAUGUGUGGGCAAGAGUCCAUGGCAUUUGGAGGAGAAUCUAAAAGAUGAUCUGCAAAGGAAACAAAAAUUAUUGGGCUUGUUCAAUUUUUUUGGUUAUGACGUAUAAAGGUGCUCUCAACGUUGGUAGGUGGUGUGUGGUGG